rnacentral:rRNA from 1 species
GACGGAGGGUGCAAGCGUUAAUCGGAAUUACUGGGCGUAAAGCGUGCGUAGACGGUUACAUAAGUCGGGUGUGAAAGCCCCGGGCUCAACCUGGGAAUUGCAUUCGAGACUGCGUAGCUAGGGUGCGGAAGAGGGAAGCGGAAUUUCCGGUGUAGCGGUGAAAUGCGUAGAUAUCGGAAGGAACACCAGUGGCGAAAGCGGCUUCCUGGUCCAGCACCGACGUUCAGGCACGAAAGCGUGGGGAGCAAACAGG